rnacentral:rRNA from 1 species
GAUGAACGCUGGCGGCGUGCUUAACACAUGCAAGUCGAACGAAGCGCUUGAAACAGAUUCUUCGGAUGAAGUUUCCUGUGACUGAGUGGCGGACGGGUGAGUAACGCGUGGGUAACCUGCCUCAUACAGGGGGAUAACAGUUAGAAAUGGCUGCUAAUACCGCAUAAGCGCACGGCAUCGCAUGAUGCAGUGUGAAAAACGCCGGGGGUAUGAGAUGGACCCGCGUUGGAUUAGCUAGUUGGCAGGGUAACGGCCUACCAAGGCGACGAUCCAUAGCCGGCCUGAGAGGGGGGACGGCCACAUUGGGACUGAGACACGGCCCAGACUCCUACGGGAGGCAGCAGUGGGGAAUAUUGCACAAUGGGGGAAACCCUGAUGCAGCGACGCCGCGUGAGCGAAGAAGUAUUUUGGUAUGUAAAGCUCUAUCAGCAGGGAAGAGAAUGACGGUACCUGACUAAGAAGCCCCGGCUAACUACGUGCCAGCCGCCGCCGUAA